UACGAAGGUGUCGAACGUUGUCCGGAAUAACUGGGCGUAAAGGGCGCGUAGGCGGUCGCGUAAGUCAGAUGUGAAAGCUCUGGGCUCAACCCAGGAAUUGCAUUUGAAACUGCGUGACUCGAGUUCGGUAGAGGAGGGCGGAAUUCCAGGUGUAGCGGUGAAAUGCGUAGAUAUCUGGAGGAACACCCGUGGCGAAGGCGGCUCUCUGGUCCGAUACUGACGCUGAGGCGCGAAAGCUAGGGUAGCAAACAGG
rnacentral:rRNA from 1 species